rnacentral:rRNA from 1 species
AGAGUGAACGCUGGCGGUAGGCCUAACACAUGCAAGUCGAACGGCAGCACAGUAGGAGCUUGCUCUUACGGGUGGCGAGUGGCGGACGGGUGAGGAAUACAUCGGAAUCUACCUUUUGGUGGGGGAUAACGUAGGGAAACUUACGCUAAUACCGCAUACGCCCUUCGGGGGAAAGCCGGGGACCAGCAAUGGCCUGGCGCUGAUAGAUGAGCCGAUGUCGGAUUAGCUAGUUGGUGAGGUAAUGGCUCACCAAGGCGACGAUCCGUAGCUGGUCUGAGAGGAUGAUCAGCCACACUGGAACUGAGACACGGUCCAGACCUCCGU